rnacentral:rRNA from 1 species
CAAUAGUGCGCGCUCUGGUGAGUAAUCACGUAGGUGACCUGCCGCUGUUGAUCGGGACAACAGAGAGGAAAUCUUAUGCUAAUACCGGAUAAGCUCAACUGACUUGAAAGAAGUUGAGGAUCGGUGGCCUCUAUUUAUAAGCUAUCACAACAGGAGGCGGCUUGCGGCCCAUUAGCUUGUUGGUGGGGUAACGGCCUACCAAGGCGACGAUGGGUAACCGGUCUGAGAGGAUGAUCGGUCACACUGGAACUGAGACACGUGUCCAGACUCCUACGGGAGGCAGCAGUAGGGAAUAUUGCGCAAUGGGCGACAACCCUGACGCAGCAAUACCGUGUGAGUGAGGAAGGCCUUAGGGUUGUAAAGCUCUGUCGAUAGGGAAAUAAUGAGCAUGGUGCCAAUACCACUGUGCAUUGAUGGUACCUAUGAAAGGAAGCACCGGCUAACUUCGUGCCAGCAGCCGCGGUAAUACGAAGUGGUGCAAGCGUUGUUCGGAAUUAUUGGCGCGUAAAGCGCGCGCAGGCGGAUUGUUAAGUCAGAUGUAGAAAUCUCGGGACUCAACCCCGAAACUGCGUCUGAAACUGGCGAUCUAGAGUGAUGUAGGGGGACGGGGAAUUUCAUGUGUAGGGGUAAAAUCCGUAGAGAUAUGAAGGAACACCUGAGGCGAAUGGCGCCGUCCUGGGCAUUAACUGACGCUGAGCGCGCGAAAGCGUGGGGAGCAAACAGGAUUAGAUACCCUGGUAGUCCACGCCGGUAAACGAUGCACACUAGUUAUUGGGCGGUAUUGACUCCCUCAGUGACGCCAGCUAACGCAUUAAGUGUGCCGCCUGGGAAGUACGGUCGCAAGAUUAAAACUCAAAGGAAUUGACGGGGGCCCGCACAAGCGGUGGAUUAUGUGGUUUAAUUCGAAGCAACGCGCAGAACCUUACCUGGGCUUGAACUCUCUCCGAAUCCCGCAGAGAUGUGGGAGUGCACUUCGGUGAAUGAGAUUGAGAGGUGCUGCAUGGCUGUCGUCAGCUCGUUGUUGUGAAAUGUUGGGUUAAGUCUCGCAACGAGGCGCAACCCCUAUUGUAUAGUUGCCAGCAUUGCGUUGGGCACUCUAACUGAGACUGCCUGGGUUAACCAGGAGGAAUGGUGGGGAUGACGUCAAGUCCUCAUGGCCCUUAUGUCCAGGGCUACACACGUAAUGUGAUGGUCGGUACAAAUGGGAAGCGAACUCGCGAGGGGGAGCCAAUCUCAAAAAACCGAUCUCAGUCCGGAUUGAAGUCUGCAACUCGACUUCAUGAAGUUGGAAUCGCUAGUAAUCGCGGAUCAGCACGGCGCGGUGAAUACGUAUCCCGGGCCUUGUACAACACCGCCCGUCACACCAUGGGAGUUGGUUUCACCUUAAGCCGUCACCUUAACAUUCGAGGAACGCGAGCGUCUACCCUU